rnacentral:rRNA from 1 species
GAGUUUGAUCCUGGCUCAGAUUGAACGCUGGCGGCAGGCCUAACACAUGCAAGUCGGGCGGUAGAGAGAAGCUUGCUUCUCUUGAGAGCGGCGGACGGGUGAGUAAUGCCUAGGAAUCUGCCUGGUAGUGGGGGAUAACGCUCGGAAACGGACGCUAAUACCGCAUACGUCCUACGGGAGAAAGCAGGGGACCUUCGGGCCUUGCGCUAUCAGAUGAGCCUAGGUCGGAUUAGCUAGUUGGUGAGGUAAUGGCUCACCAAGGCGACGAUCCGUAACUGGUCUGAGAGGAUGAUCAGUCACACUGGAACUGAGACACGGUCCAGACUCCUACGGGAGGCAGCAGUGGGGAAUAUUGGACAAUGGGCGAAAGCCUGAUCCAGCCAUGCCGCGUGUGUGAAGAAGGUCUUCGGAUUGUAAAGCACUUUAAGUUGGGAGGAAGGGCAGUAACUUAAUACUUUGCUGUUUUGACGUUACCGACAGAAUAAGCACCGGCUAACUCUAGUGCCAGCCGCCG